AGGGCGUCUGCAGUGAGCCUCCGAGGGGAAAGACUUGUCGGAGCCCUGACCCGUGAUUCUGGGCCUGGCUGGAUCCCUGGAGCGACACAGUACCUCUGGAUCACUCCUGAGGAUCAGGGAGCCCUAUUGAGCCUUAGAAUUUAGGGGGCACUACCCCAGGCCACAUCCUCGAAAGAAGGACAUUCUCUGGGAGAAGGGACCUCCGUCCUCGGCCAGCCCUGGCACCCGUGAGAGUCGCCCAUCCGGGUUAAUAACUAAUAAGACAGAAGAGAAAGAUGUCAUUCCGCAAAGUAAACAUUGUCAUCUUGGUCCUGGCUGUUGUUCUCUUCUUAUUGGUUUUGCACCAUAACUUCCUCGGCUUGAGCAGUUUGCUGAGGAAUGAAGUUUCAGAUUCAGCAAUUGUGGGGCUUCAGCCCAUAGACUUUGUCCCAAAUGUUCCCGGACAUGCAGUGGACUGGAGACAAGAGGAGAUUCCUGUGGUCAUUGCUGCAUCUGAAGACAGGCUUGGGGGGGCCAUUGCAGCUAUAAACAGUAUUCAGCACAACACUCAUUCCAAUGUGAUUUUCUACAUUGUUACACUCAACAAUACAGCAGACCAUCUCCGGUCCUGGCUCAACAGUGAUCCACUGAAAAGUAUCAGGUACAAAAUUGUGAAUUUUGACACUAAACUUUUGGAGGGGAAAGUAAAGGAGGAUCCUGACCAAGGGAAUCCACAAACCAUUUUCCAGUUAACCUUUGCAAGGUUCUACUUGCCAAUUCUGGUUCCCAGUGCAAAGAAGGCCAUAUAUAUGGAUGAUGAUGUAAUUGUGCAAGGUGAUAUUCUUGCCCUUUUUAAUACACCACUGAAGCCAGGACAUGCAGCUGCAUUUUCAGAAGAUUGUGAUUCAACCUCUACUAAAGUUGUCAUCCGUGGAGCAGGGAACCAGUACAAUUAUAUUGGCUAUCUUGACUAUAAAAAGGAAAGAAUUCGUAAGUUUCGAUGAAAGCCAGCACCUGCUCAUUUAUCCUGGAUUUUUGUUGCAAACCUGACAGAAUGGAAACGACAGAACAUAACCAACCAGCUGGAAAAAUGGAUGAAACUCAAUGUGGAAGGGAUAUACAGCAGAACACUGGCUGGCAGCAUCACAACACCUCCUCUACUUAUCGUAUUUUAUCAACCGCACUCACCACCAUUGACCCUAUGUGGAAUGUCCGCCACCUUGGUAGAGAAACGCCUAAUUUGGUAAAAGCUGCCAAAUUACUCCAUUGGAAUGGACACUUUAAGCCAUGGGAAGACUGCUUCACAUAUGGAUGUUUGGGAAAAAUGGUAUAUUCCAGAUCCAACAGGCAAAUUCAGCCUAAUCUCGAAGAUAUCAGAGAUCUCAAACAUAAAAUGA